rnacentral:misc_RNA from 1 species
UUGUGGAGGAGGACGCCGAAGGUGGGGCUAAUGACUGGGGUGAAGUCGUAACAAGGUAGCCGUACCGGAAGGUGCGGCUGGAUCACCUCCUAACAGGGAGACAACAAAAUGUUAAAUAUUAAUUUUGUCACCUUAGGUCGAUCGGUAUCUCACAUUCUUAAUUCAUUAAGAAUUUUAUUUCCUAAGUUUUUUCUAGGUCACACCCAUUACUUUUCCUGGGCCAUUAGCUCAGGUGGUUAGAGCGCACCCCUGAUAAGGGUGAGGUCCCUGGUUCAAGUCCAGGAUGGCCCAUAUCUCUAUGUUGGGGGUAUAGCUCAGUUGGUAGAGCGCCUGCUUUGCAAGCAGGAUGUCAGCGGUUCGAGUCCGCUUACCUCCACUGAUCACCGCUUUCAUAAAUUUAAAGAAGGGAAAUGUAUUGAGUUGUGAUCAAAUUCUGAACGAAUCUAGCUUCCUAAUAUAAACAUUAAGAUGCUGGACUCAUUGAAUUUAUUCAUUGUUUUCAGAGAACCUUGACAACUGCAUAGAUUAUUUUUUUAAAGACAAUAAGCAUCUUUAAUGAUGCAGAUUUAUUAUUUUUGCAAAUGCAUUAAUAACAAUUCUAUUAAGCUGAUGCUUCAAUUUUGAAGUUAUUGGUCAAGCUACAA